UACAGAGGUCCCAAGCGUUGUUCGGAUUCACUGGGCGUAAAGGGUGCGUAGGUGGUGAGGUAAGUCGGAUGUGAAAGCUCGGAGCUCAACUCCGAAAUGGCAUUGGAAACUACCUUGCUCGAGGGUUGGAGGGGGGACUGGAAUACUUGGUGUAGCAGUGAAAUGCGUAGAUAUCAAGUGGAACACCGGUGGCGAAGGCGAGUCCCUGGACAACUCCUGACACUGAGGCACGAAAGCUAGGGGAGCAAACAGG
rnacentral:rRNA from 1 species